AUUCUGGCACUGUUACCAUAUGAAGGGUCAUCGGCAUCCGUAGCUGUGACUUGCACCACAGAGGUACCCACGACAGACAUUUCAGGAACACUAGCAGUAUAAAUUUCUUCUGGAAAUGUUGGUUCAUUGUCAUUGAUGUCAUGGAUUUUGAUGACAAACUCAGAUUCAGGUUCCACUGGUCUCAGAGUUCUUCUGUUAAUAGCUUGGGCACGCAGAGUGUAAAAGGCUUUCUCUUCCCUGUCAAUUCUCCGAGUAGCAUGAAUGUCACCUGUUUUCUCAUCAAUUAUAAAAAGAGUACCAGCCCCAUCUCCU
rnacentral:lncRNA from 1 species